rnacentral:rRNA from 1 species
AACGAACGCUGGCGGCAGGCUUAACACAUGCAAGUCGAACGCAUCCUUCGGGGUGAGUGGCAGACGGGUGAGUAACACGUGGGAACGUGCCCUUCAGUUCGGGAUAACCCAGGGAAACUUGGGCUAAUACCGGAUACGUGCGAGAGCAGAAAGAUUUAUCGCUGAAGGAUCGGCCCGCGUCUGAUUAGCUAGUUGGUGGGGUAAUGGCCCACCAAGGCGACGAUCAGUAGCUGGUCUGAGAGGAUGAUCAGCCACAUUGGGGCUGAGACACGGCCCAAACUCCUACGGGAGGCAGCAGUGGGGAAUAUUGGACAAUGGGCGCAAGCCUGAUCCAGCCAUGCCGCGUGAGUGAUGAAGGCCUUAGGGUUGUAAAGCUCUUUCGUCCGGGACGAUAAUGACGGUACCGGAAGAAGAAGCCCCGGCUAACUUCGUGCCAGCAGCCGCGGUAA